rnacentral:rRNA from 1 species
UACGGAGCAGGCAAGCGUUGUUCGGAAUUACUGGGCUUAAAGCGCGUGUAGGCGGCCUGGCAAGUACCGUGUGAAAGCCCUCGGCUCAACCGAGGAACUGCUUGGUAUACUGCCGGACUUGAGGCGGGUAGGGGUGCUUGGAACCCUAGGUGGAGCGGUGAAAUGCGUAGAGAUCUAGGGGAACGCCAGUGGCGAAAGCGGAGCACUGGGCCCGACCUGACGCUGAGACGCGAAAGCGUAGGUAGCGAACGGGAUUAGAUACCCGCGUA